UUGAUUUGCGUCAAAAAAAGAAUCGGACGGAUGAAUCUGCUUAUUUGAUUUGUUAAAUGUCAAUUAAAAUCUUUUCAGUGUGCUCUUUAAUAUUUAUUAUCUUUCACUUGCAAUAUUUCAAAUUUUUUUUUAUAAUAUUUAUGUAAUAAUUUUUCUUCUCAUAUAAUUCUUACUUUUUUUUUUCGGUUUUUUUAUUAUUCUUUAUUAAGUUGUGAUUUCAUUUUAAAUAUUUUUUAAUAUAUUUUUUAUAUUAUUAAGUUAUAUUUUUUUUCUUCUUUACAUUAACAUUUAUUUAUUUAAUUUAUAAUUUUUUUUUAAAAUAUUU
rnacentral:lncRNA from 1 species